rnacentral:rRNA from 1 species
UACGUAGGGCGCAAGCGUUGUCCGGAAUUAUUGGGCGUAAAGAGCUCGUAGGCGGCCUGUUGCGUCCGCUGUGAAAUCCCGGGGCUCAACCCCGGGCCUGCAGUGGAUACGGGCUGGCUAGAGGCAGGCAGGGGAGAACGGAAUCCUGGUGUAGCGGUGGAAUGCGCAGAUAUCAGGAGGAACACCGGUGGCGAAGGCGGCCUGCUGGGCUAUGGCUGACACUGAGGCGCGACAGCGUGGGGAGCAAACAGG